rnacentral:rRNA from 1 species
UACGGAGGGUGCAAGCGUUGUCCGGAUUUAUUGGGUUUAAAGGGUGCGUAGGCGGCCUGUUAAGUCAGCGGUGAAAGUUUCCGGCUCAACCGGGAGACUGCCGUUGAUACUGUCAGGCUUGAGUAAUGGAGGGGUACAUGGAAUUUAUGGUGUAGCGGUGAAAUGCAUAGAUACCAUAAGGAACACCGAUAGCGAAGGCAUUGUACCGGCCAUUCACUGACGCUGAGGCACGAAAGCGUGGGUAGCGAACAGG